rnacentral:rRNA from 1 species
AUGAAAAGUAACAGGGCUUCGGGCCCGGACAGUAUUCCUGCUGAGUUUUAUCAGCACUACUGGGAUAUUGUGAAAGAAGAUAUUAUGAGAUUGUUUGCUGCUUUACACGGGGAGCUUGAUGUUAGUAGGAUGAACUAUGGCAUUAUAACUUUACUGCCCAAGAUUAGUUGGGCUAAUAAGAUCCAACAGUUUAGGCCCAUACGCCUACUUAGAUGCCCUUACAAGCUGAUCACUAAGGUCCUUGACAACAGGGUGGUUCCCCUUGCUGACAAAUUGUUUAGUAAGCAUCAGAAUGCGUUUAUUAAACAUAGAAGUAUUGUGGAUGGGGUCUUGUCCUUGCAUGAGAUUCUGCACCAUACUUACGUCAAGAAGAAAGUGGGGAUUGUUAUAAAACUUGAUUUUGAGAAAGCACACGACAAGGUGAAUUGGGAUUUUUUGCUGGAAUGUCUUGAGAAGAGAGGGUUUGGUACCACUUGGUAUAAGUGGAUUAAAAGUGUCCUGGUCGAUGGCACAGCCAGUGUCAAGCUAAACAACACCAUGGGGCCGUAUUUCAAAAGCUUUAAAGGGGUUAGGUGGGGAGAUCUUGUGUCGCCGUUCCUAUUUAAUAUAGCGGUCGAAUGCUUAUGUAAAUGGUUCUGCAAGCUCAGAAAAAUAACUUGA